GACGAACGCUGUCGGCGUGCUUAACACAUGCAAGUCGAACGGAAAGGCCCUGCUUUUGUGGGGUGCCCGAGUGGCGAACGGGUGAGUAACACGUGAGUAACCUGCCCUUGACUUUGGGAUAACUUCAGGAAACUGGGGCUAAUACCGGAUAGGAGCUCCUGCUGCAUGGUGGGGGUUGGAAAGUUUCGGCGGUUGGGGAUGGACUCGCGGCUUAUCAGCUUGUUGGUGGGGUAGUGGCUUACCAAGGCUUUGACGGGUAGCCGGCCUGAGAGGGUGACCGGCCACAUUGGGACUGAGAUACGGCCCAGACUCCUACGGGAGGCAGCAGUGGGGAAUAUUGCACAAUGGGCGGAAGCCUGAUGCAGCAACGCCGCGUGCGGGAUGACGGCCUUCGGGUUGUAAACCGCUUUCGCCUGUGACGAAGCGUGAGUGACGGUAAUGGGUAAAGAAGCACCGGCUAACUACGUGCCAGCAGCCGCGGUGAUACGUAGGGUGCGAGCGUUGUCCGGAUUUAUUGGGCGUAAAGGGCUCGUAGGUGGUUGAUCGCGUCGGAAGUGUAAUCUUGGGGCUUAACCCUGAGCGUGCUUUCGAUACGGGUUGACUUGAGGAAGGUAGGGGAGAAUGGAAUUCCUGGUGGAGCGGUGGAAUGCGCAGAUAUCAGGAGGAACACCAGUGGCGAAGGCGGUUCUCUGGGCCUUUCCUGACGCUGAGGAGCGAAAGCGUGGGGAGCGAACAGGCUUAGAUACCCUGGUAGUCCACGCUGUAAACGGUGGGUACUAGGUGUGGGGUCCAUUCCACGGGUUCCGUGCCGUAGCUAACGCUUUAAGUACCCCGCCUGGGGAGUACGGCCGCAAGGCUAAAACUCAAAGGAAUUGACGGGGCCCCGCACAAGCGGCGGAGCAUGCGGAUUAAUUCGAUGCAACGCGUAGAACCUUACCUGGGUUUGACAUGGAUCGGGAGUGCUCAGAGAUGGGUGUGCCUCUUUUGGGGUCGGUUCACAGGUGGUGCAUGCCUGUCGUCAGCUCGUGUCGUGAGAUGUUGGGUUAAGUCCCGCAACGAGCGCAACCCUUGUUCACUGUUGCCAGCACGUUAUGGUGGGGACUCAGUGGAGACCGCCGGGGUCAACUCGGAGGAAGGUGGGGAUGACGUCAAGUCCUCAUGCCCCUUAUGUCCAGGGCUUCACGCAUGCUACAAUGGCUGGUACAGAGAGUGGCGAGCCUGUGAGGGUGAGCGAAUCUCGGAAAGCCGGUCUCAGUUCGGAUUGGGGUCUGCAACUCGACCUCAUGAAGUCGGAGUCGCUAGUAAUCGCAGAUCAGCAACGCUGCGGUGAAUACGUUCCCGGG
rnacentral:rRNA from 1 species